CUGCCGAUAAUGAAGAUUAUACUGGUGUGAAGGAGGGAGGGGAAACGUUGAAAGAGGAAGAGUUGACUGUACAAGAGGGAGAGAGAGGAAAGGAAGAGUUGAAAGCACCGGAGGGAGAGAGAGGAACGGACAAGUUGAAAGCACAGGAGGGAGAGAGAGGAACGGACAAGUUGAAAGCACAUGAAGGAGAAAAAGGAACGGACGAGUUGAAAGAACAAGGAGAGAAUGGAAAAGAAGAGUUGGACCAACAAAAAAGCGAGAAAGAAAUGGAAGAGUUUAAAGCAGUGGAAGGAGAAGAAGGAAAGGAAGAGCUGAAAGAAUCA
rnacentral:lncRNA from 1 species